rnacentral:lncRNA from 1 species
CCUUAUUGGAGUAGAUAUGACCUUGUUGAAGGAAGUAUAUCACUGUGGGGUGGGCUUUGAAGGCUCAAUGCAUGCCCAGUGUGGCAGAAGCAUACUUCUACUGCCUGUGGGUCAAGAUGCAGAACUCUCAGCUCCUUCUCCAGAACCACGUCUGCCUGGAUGCCACCAUGUCCCACCACAAUGAUACCAGGCUAAACCUCUGAACUGUCUUGUGCAGGCAACCAGAGCUGCUGUGGGUUCCUGAGAGCAAGAGUCCUACAAUGUCCGGAAGACACUAUUUUGCAGCAAUCAUCCCCUCCUUCUUCUACGACUUCUACUGAACCUUUGAGCUGAUGAUAAAAAUUCGAGAGACUUGGAAGAACCCCUAGGCCCUCCCAGAUGGUGGAGUCAUUAAAUGGAACCCUGGGUCCUCAAGUCACUGCAGGGAAAGCUGCUAUCACACAUCCAAUGGCAUUUUUACUGCAUAACAAGAAAACAAACAAGCAGACACCCCUCUGGUGUUAAACUUCUUUGGUUAAAAUGAAAUAAAUCUUUUGAAAAAUUGCAUGUGACUGGAAAGAUGACUUGGUACUUAUGGUCUUGUAGAGGUCUUGCAUCGUGUUCCAAGAACCUAUGUUGGGCAGCUUACAAACAGCUCUGACACGCUACGAUGGCCUCCAAGGGCAGUAGAUGUGUGUGUGUAAACAUAAACAUAAAAUAAAUCUUAA